GACACGUAACCCCAGAACCGUAAUAUCACAAUGGGCAGAUGUUAGUUUCUUAAUUUCUAAGGUUAAUGGGCUGUAUUCUUCAUUCUUUUUUUUUAAAGGAAGAUUGAGCUAAUUCACCCGUUUUUGUCGUUUCAUAUUGUCAAAACAAAGAAAAAAUGAGAAUUAAACUACACUAUGAACAAAGAUUAAAGGCCCAAACAAAUUAGAAGUCUGUUCAGAAAAUGAAAAACCCUUUCUAAGUACUUAUUAUGUAACUAUCCUUUCUCCUUUUUAUUUUAAUUUCUCUUUUUUUGUCAUACCUUUAUAUUAUUAUUUCUCUUGCAUUAUAUUUCUUUAAAAAAAUUAUUUUGAUAAACCACUUUUAUGCAUUCGUAAGUUGGUUUUAUAUACUUACUAGUUGUUGACCCGCGCUACGCGCGGGAAGUUUAUAAUUUUAUUUAUUUUGCAACGUUUUUUUUAUGUUCUUUAUUGUUGUCAUUUUUUGUUAUUCUAUUUUUCAUAUUGGUUGAUGAUUUGUCCUUACGGUGUGCAUGUGAUGAAAGGUGUCAUGGGAUUUCCUCAGCCAAGACUUCGGAAGCAUUGAGACCUCAGGAAACAGAAAAGGAUUGGACAUAUUAUGUUUGGUUCAAAGGGGUUGUCCCAAAUGUAACUUUCCAUAUGUGGG
rnacentral:lncRNA from 1 species